UACGUAGGGUCCGAGCGUUGUCCGGAAUUAUUGGGCGUAAAGGGCUCGUAGGCGGUUUGUUACGUCGGGAGUGAAAACUCAGGGCUCAACCCUGAGCGUGCUUCUGAUACGGGCAGACUAGAGGUAUUCAGGGGAGAACGGAAUUCCUGGUGUAGCGGUGGAAUGCGCAGAUAUCAGGAGGAACACCGGUGGCGAAGGCGGUUCUCUGGGAAUUACCUGACGCUGAGGAGCGAAAGCAUGGGGAGCGAACAGG
rnacentral:rRNA from 1 species